rnacentral:rRNA from 1 species
UACGUAGGUGGCAAGCGUUGUCCGGAAUUAUUGGGCGUAAAGGGCGCGUAGGCGGCUUUGCAAGUGGCGGGUGAAAUCCCUCGGCUUAACCGAGGAACUGCCUGCCAGACUGUGAGGCUUGAGACCGGGAGAGGUGAGUGGAAUUCCCAGUGUAGCGGUGAAAUGCGUAGAUAUUGGGAGGAACACCAGUGGCGAAGGCGGCUCACUGGACCGGAACUGACGCUGAGGCGCGAAAGCGUGGGGAGCAAACAGG